rnacentral:rRNA from 1 species
AGUGAACGCUGGCGGUAGGCCUAACACAUGCAAGUCGAACGGCAGCACAGUAAGAGCUUGCUCUUACGGGUGGCGAGUGGCGGACGGGUGAGGAAUACAUCGGAAUCUACUUUUUCGUGGGGGAUAACGUAGGGAAACUUACGCUAAUACCGCAUACGACCUACGGGUGAAAGCAGGGGAUCUUCGGACCUUGCGCGAUUGAAUGAGCCGAUGUCGGAUUAGCUAGUUGGCGGGGUAAAGGCCCACCAAGGCGACGAUCCGUAGCUGGUCUGAGAGGAUGAUCAGCCACACUGGAACUGAGACACGGUCCAGACUCCUACGGGAGGCAGCAGUGGGGAAUAUUGGACAAUGGGCGAAAGCCUGAUCCAGCCAUACCGCGUGGGUGAAGAAGGCCUUCGGAUUGUAAAGCCCUUUUGUUGGGAAAGAAAAGCAGUAGGUUAAUACCCCGCUGUUCUGACGGUACCCAAAGAAUAAGCACCGGCUAACUUCGUG